UGGAGGAAUGUAUAGCAAUAGCUGAUUGCACCAACAAAUAGUUGAUGCAAUAUUGACUCUGUCAAAUAAAAUUCUAGGUAGAAUUAUGAUAAUGACAUUGUCUGCCUAUAUGUCUUGACCAAAUUACGUGCCAGCAGUCGCGGUAAUACGUAGAAGACUAGUGUUAUUCAUCUUUAAUAGGUUUAAAGGGUACCUAGACGGUAAAUCAAGCCUUCACAGGGACUAAUUUACUAGAGUUACUUACGAGGGGGUAUUAAAGUACUGCAGGUGUAGAGAUGAAAUUCUGUCAUACCUCUUUUCAAAAGAAAAAUUAUGGCACAGGUAUAGGUGAAAGCAUCCCCUUAUGUGAUAACUGACGUUGAAGGACGAAGGCUUUGUGUCGCGAACAGGAUUAGAUACCCCNGUAGUCAAAGCAGAAAAUGAUGAAUGUCAUAGAUUAGAUAAAUAGUUUAUUCUAUAAAUGAAAAUGUAAGCAUUCCACCUCAAGAGUAAUUUGGCAACAUUGGAACUGAAAUCAUUAGACCGUUUCUGAAACCAGUAGUGAAGUAUGUUGUUUAAUUUGAUGAUCCGCAAAAAACCUUACCACAAUUUGAAUAUUUAUAUCUAUCUUUUUUUUUUUCGUAAAAAAAUAAAAAGGUAAUAUAUUUACAAGCGUUGCACGGCUGUCUUCAGUUAAUGUCGCGAGACUUUGGUUAGUUCCAUUAAAUUAACGUAAACCCUUACUUUAUUUUUAUAUGAAGUAGUUCCCCGCUAUAUUGGAUAUGAUAACAGGGACUA
rnacentral:rRNA from 1 species